UGACCACAGUCUGUCCUGUCCCCCCCCACCCCUGUCUUUGUGUAGGUCUCUGCUCCCUGUUGGGCUGUGAGUUCCCUAAAGGAAAUCACCUUUGGGUUCACAGAACCUGGCCCAGGCCUGGACCAUCAUUUCAGAUGGGAAGGAAUUCCACACAUCUGUAGAAGGAACUGUUCCUGCUCCUCACUCCGGCCCAGGGCCUGUGGACGCAACCCUGCGCGGUGUGCACAGUGGAGCGCCUCCAGGACCCUGCUCAUCUAUGUCCGGCAGGCGGUGAGGGGUGAGUCUGCGGGGCUGGGCCUGACCUGCUGCCUGCUCUGCUCAGGAGCCCCAGCUGUGCAGCCUGCGCCCUCCUGGAGAAGGGAGACCGGAAGUGGGGCUGUUCACCACGCCUGCCUGCCUGCCUGCCGAGUUCAGGGCCCAGCCGGCCAUGGAGUUUACAGCACGACUCGGUCCUUUGCUGCACCCCGAUCCUUGGCUCCUCUUUGGGGCUCUGGCAUCGCAGAAGGACCCAAAGGCAGGGACACCCGGGUCAGGAUUGAGGCUUCCGCCUCCAGACCACUUUGAAGUAUGACUCUGCCGCUGACUGGAUUUAUGUCCUGAACCUGUCUGGGGACACAGUAGUGCCUAAAUUAAUGCGAUCACUGGGAAACCGAGUAAAGUCACCAUGUGUGCAAUACAAAACAGUACCUGCACUGUGCUCAGCUGGGGUGGAAGCAGUCGGCAUUGGCAGAGGAGCCAGGAGAGCCUGGACCCUGGUGCCCAGGAUGGGUGCAUGGAGGUGGGGUGCAGGGAGUGCUCCCCACUGUCACAGCCAGGAGUGCGAGCAGCUCCCCGCAUGCAUGGCCCCAAGGGCGCUGGGGACACCACCGUGCUGUCUUCAGAGAAACCAC
rnacentral:lncRNA from 1 species